rnacentral:lncRNA from 1 species
GGGAAUCCUAAAUUAUCACAUACGGCCGCACGGUUUGACUCGCACCGUCAGCGCACGCCGCCCAGUCGGUCACGACACGACAUACGCUCUCCGACCAAGGCAAGCAGCUCCGGCGCAGCCGUCCCUAUCCGCAUCAUACUUCAGUGUUGCAAACUAGCUGCAACCCACCGGCUCCAUACACUGACCACCCACAUACAUCGAACACCACCAGCAAAACAAACACCACCAAACGACACUAGUGAACACUACCACCACGAACAUGUAGGGGACGAUCCACAUGUCACUGCGCAGGGCAGGGUUCUGCCCCAUUGCCGUACUGUUUAAUGUAUGUGCACACGAUCCCUCGGCGCUCACGAGCAUCCUGC